GAUGAACGCUGGCGGCGUGCCUAAUACAUGCAAGUCGAGCGAACAGACGAGGAGCUUGCUCCUCUGACGUUAGCGGCGGACGGGUGAGUAACACGUGGAUAACCUACCUAUAAGACUGGGAUAACUUCGGGAAACCGGAGCUAAUACCGGAUAAUAUAUUGAACCGCAUGGUUCAAUAGUGAAAGACGGUUUUGCUGUCACUUAUAGAUGGAUCCGCGCCGCAUUAGCUAGUUGGUAAGGUAACGGCUUACCGAGGCGACGAUGCGUAGCCGACCUGAGAGGGAGAUCGGCCACACUGGAACUGAGACACGGUCCAGACUCCUACGGGAGGCAGCAGUAGGGAAUCUUCCGCAAAGGGCGAAAGCCUGACGGAGCAACGCCGCGUGAGUGAUGAAGGUCUUCGGAUCGUAAAACUCUGUUAUUAGGGAAGAACAAAUGUGUAAGUAACUAUGCACGUCUUGACGGUACCUAAUCAGAAAGCCACGGCUAACUACGUG
rnacentral:rRNA from 1 species